AUAAUUAACCUCACUGUGUUCAGACCUUUAAGUGCAUUAUAUUUUAGACCUUAAGCCAAGGCACCAAAAAAAAAACCCAAUUAGGCUAGUAAUAGCUUUGGAUUAAAUUAUAUUAACUAUUAAAAGAACAUAAUUUAUAUGUAGUCAGCAUGUGUAAUUCUUGUUGUAGAGAAACCCCCAAACACUAAUUCAAUAUUAAAACCUGUGAGAAAACAAAAUCUGUGUAAUGCGAUCAAAUGGCUUCUACGUGGAGUUUGGGAAAGGUUGCAGGUAGUGGAAUUAUUAUAGAAACAAAAUGUGUCAAGGACAUUUCAAAUCAGCACAUGAGAAGCAGGGAAAAAUCAGUUUCUUCAUUUGGAGGCAACAGGCAUGUUUUAUAAUAAACUGUAGUUGAAGUAAGAAACUAAGGUACAUCUACUUUUGUCUCUCUGAGAGAUGCAAGAAGGGUAUGGGAAAACUAAAAGCAGGUAGGUCACAUGCAGGAUAAUUAUGUUACAAGAAGAGCGAGUGAAAUUUUAAGGAAAAAAAAAAAGAACCGAAAAUGUUUUCCACAUUUACUUAUUUUUUCAUAGUCUUAACUUUGUCCUAAAUCUGCCUCUAGAGUGAUAGGAACUUGAAAUAGAAUGUCAGCUGUAUCUGUUAUCAUCCUCAUUAUUGCUAUUAUCAUAUGUGUUUGAGUGUUUUUCUCAUGUUCUUUGUUGUAGGCGUUUCAAUGAAAUGUCGGGUGGAUGGCUCAAAUAUAAAUAUAAAUAUAGACAUGGAAAAAUCACUAAUAAUACAAGACUGCCUCGUAUAAAUAUUAAAGGUCUUCUAUAGAUGCCACGUGCACUUCCAAAAAGAUGGACGAGGUCUUGCCUCUGCAGGAUCCCACAGAAAUGGAGACCACAGGGCAUAGGAAACAAUAUCCUCUCUAGAGGUCAAAACUCAGCAGGUUUUAAUAAAACAUCCAGCUCUGAUGUAUGAGGGUUAUUCAAGAUCUAAGUUAAGAAGCUUAAUUAGUGCUUUUGAUAAUAGACCAUUUUUCUUUUGGGUCAGGAGAUGGGGCAGAGUGUUGCUUUGAUGUUAAGCUCAUGUUUUGCAUGAGUCCUGGCAUAACCCUCAGCAAGUUGCUUCAUCUUUCUGGACACUGGCUUCCUCAUCUGUAACCGCAGGAAUAAUGAUGGUACCCAUACAGGUCUGCCUUAUGGAUUUUCGUGGUACACAAAUGAGAUAGUGACACUACAGCCUCACUCAUAGUAAGCACUCUGUAAUUAUGUAUCAUCAUCGCCACAAGACUGUGUUAGUGUUAAACCUUGUCAGGUGGCAAAAGUGUAGAGAGAGCUUUCAUCUACAUAGAGUGAUGUCCACUUAGACAGGACAUAUUUGGGCUCAGAUAUAACUUGUUCAUAGGUAUAUAGACUUGUCAUGGUUUUUUACAAUGACAAAUAAUGACAUACUGAAUAUCCUUGUAAAUAUUUUAAGGCAUCCAAAGUCUAUUUCUGUAGGAUAGUUGUAUGACAUCAAAAUUUGGGGGCCCUAAUAUUUAUCAAUACUUUAUUAGUCAUUUUUUAAGGGCCAUACAUGUGGCAUAUGGUCAUUCCUGGGCUAGGGGUCAAAUCAGAGCUGUAGCUGCUGGCUUAUGCCACAGCCACAGCAAAGCCCAAUCCGACUUACACUGCAGCUCAAGGCAAUGCCAGACCUUUAGUCACUGGGUGAGGUCAGGGACGGAACUCACAUCCUUACAGACACUAUGUUGGGUCCUUAACCUGCUGAACCACAAACAGAACUCCAAGAAACUUUUUAAACUAGCUUAAAUUAAAAUAUUUAUAUAUAUAUAUCCUGCAUCAGUUAUCGCACUGUUAAACUACUGGGGAUUUUAUAUAGUAUGUGUUGAUUCUAGAAAGGUAAGUUCUUUUUCUUUAUCGAAAUAAUUUUUCAGCUUCUCUUAUAAUUUUUCUUUCAGAUGAACUUUAGAAACAUAUCAUGGGGGGCUUCAGGGAAAUUUUCUUGAAUUUAUAUUGGUAAAAUUAAUUAUUAAUUUUGGAGGAAUGGACAGAUCUGCAAUAUUGAAUUUUUUUUCUCUUAAGCUUUCCUCAGUAAAGCUUUAUGGCUGCUUCUUAUGUAGCCUUGGAUUUUUAAAAUUGUCUUUAUUCCUAGGUAUGUGAUAUGCAACUAUAAUCUUCUCCAUAAGAAAAUUUAAUUAAUUAAAAAGAGUAUAUAGGGAAGAUAUUGAUUUUUUUAAUAUCAUUAACUUUUAAGUCCAAACAAUAUAAAAUAAUAAAAUACCAAGCAAUCAAAUGAAAUUUGCAAUAUCUGAGAAUACUAUAAUCAAUAUCUCAUUUACUCUUCACAGAUAUUUGGUCACAUAUAAUUAGUUGUAAUUUCAUACUUUACCAAUAAAAAGAUGUGAAGCUUAAAGACGUUAUCAAAUGCCUAGUCACAUAGCCAGUGGCUGGGAUGUGAACCAUACUUUUAAUAUCUGGUCUAUAUAAUCUCCUUUUAUUUAGGACAUAAAGAUCAUUUCCAAGAAAUCCAAGUAGAGUAGCAUCCAUUAACUGAUAUUUUCUAACAAACUGAUAGUUUAUUCUUCCACGUGAUUAAUGCUAUCAAUUUUGUGAGUUUCCACUUUUUCACUCUUGAGAAAAGCUUGUUACCAUUGUCUUGGGGAGUGGGCAGGACCCAACACAUUCUUUUCAACCACAGGUUAAAUGAGGAUUACCAGACACUAUUUUGGCAGUCAUUUUGAAAUUCUCUUAAAUUAAAAAACAUCUCUUUUCCUAAACCCAUAGUCCCUACAGGAAGUGUUGGUUAUAGUCAAAGUCAAAAAAAAAAAAAAAGUUUCUAUGCAGAAAUGUUCCCACAACUGGUUGAAGUUUAUAAAGGAGAAUAUGUUAAGUCAGCAGAGUGCUUGUAGCUGUGUGUAGAAUUUUAAAGGAAGCAAGGCAGAGUGCUCAGAAAACACUUCAUCUCUAGAGAGGAUGAGUUACAGCAGCUCCAUGAAACAAACGAGAUACACACCUGCUCAGGCUGAUGCAGUUUUCAGAGAUGCUCUGUAUGAUCCAAGGUAUCACAUUUCAUCCAGAGUGACUGGACCUAUUUGAACCAUCAGGUGUUUCCCUGAAUUCUGCUCAGAGUUUUCAAAGGCUCUCAAGUCCCAUCUCAGAUCCGGACCCAGGAUCUCUGGGAAAUGACUCCCAGUAUCAUGCUUAAAACUCACUGGCUUUAGGGAGUUCCCGUUGUAGCUCAGUGGUUAACGAAUCUGACUAAGAACCAUGAGGUUGCAGGUUCGAUCCCUGGCCUUGCUCAGUGGGUUAAGGAUCUGGCGUUGCCGUGAGCUGUGGUGUAGGUUGCAGACGCGGCUCAGAUCCCGCGUUGCUGUAGCUCUGGUGUAGACCAGUGGCUAAAACUCCGAUUCAACCCCUAGCCUGGGAACCUCCAUAUGCCAUGGGUGCGGCCCUAGAA
rnacentral:lncRNA from 1 species